rnacentral:rRNA from 1 species
AGUUGGUGGAGUGAUUUGUCUGGUUAAUUCCGAUAACGAACGAGACCUUGACCUGCUAACUAGGAUUCGGAACUUAAUGUUUCGAACUCGCUUCUUAGAGGGACUUUGCGUGUCUAAUGCAAGGAAGUUCAUGGCAAUAACAGGU